rnacentral:rRNA from 1 species
GACGAACGCUGGCGGCGUGCCUAAUACAUGCAAGUAGAACGCACAGUUUAUACCGUAGCUUGCUACACCAUAGACUGUGAGUUGCGAACGGGUGAGUAACGCGUAGGUAACCUGCCUGGUAGCGGGGGAUAACUAUUGGAAACGUUAGCUAAUACCGCAUCAUAUUGAUUAUUGCAUGAAAAUUGAUUGAAAGAUGCUAUUGCAUCACUACCAGAUGGACCUGCGUUGUAUUAGCUAGUAGGUGAGGUAACGGCUCACCUAGGCGACGAUACAUAGCCGACCUGAGAGGGUGAUCGGCCACACUGGGAAUGAGACACGGCCCAGACUCCUACGGGAGGCAGCAGAAGGGAAUCUUCGGCAAUGGACGAAAGUCUGACCGAGCAACGCCGCGGGAGGGAAGAAGGGUUUCGGAUCGUAAAGCUCUGUUGUAAGAGAAGAACGGGUGUGAGAGUGGAAAGUUCACACUGUGACGGUAUCUUACCAGAAAGGGACGGCUAACUACGUG